UUAGAGUGUUUGAAGCAGGCUUUCGUUGCCUUGAAUACUGCAGCAUGGAAUAACAAUAUAGGAUUUCGGUUCUAUUAUUUUGUUGGUUUUUUCUGUAGGACUGAAAUAAUGA
rnacentral:rRNA from 1 species